CCCUCCUCCUCGCUCACCGCCCUGCAAAAAUAGAAGAAGUAAAAUAAAGGUGCAAGAUACUGCGUCAUUCUAAGAAGAGAUAAGCAUCCAGUUCCCCCUCAAACUAUGGCCAAAGUUGCUACGACACACUCCAACUUCACAGGGGUCCUACUACCCCUCUGAACUCAAUUUUAGCGUAUUUUCGUUACCCUUUUGUGUUGACGUGACACUUUUAUUACAUAAAAUGGAGCCCACGUCAAAGGUGUCACGCUAGCUAAAAAGGUUGACAAAAGGUGCAUCGUCAGCACAAAAUGGUGAUAAAAAUACGCUAAACUCUCUUAAAGCCAAGUUAAAGUACAAAACCACAACAAAAUGAUGAACAUAGAAACUUCUGAAUAAGAAAAUGUGCUACUUACAAGCUCAAUUAUAAUAAUCAAGAUCAGCAAACUACAUCACUCUGUAACUUUGAUGAUUACCAAACCUCAUUGGACGUUUUAUAGUGUCGGUGAUGGUUCUACUUCCUCCGUCCCAUUUUAUAUGAAGGUGUUUGUCCGGGUAAGGAAUUUUAACAGAAAAAGAAGACUUCUGUAACUUGUGGCCUAAAAUAAGACAGAGAAACUUUUGUGGCCGUAAAUCAUAGUAGCAUUUAAGGUAAACUGGGAAAUUUGAAGCUAAAAGGUUACUAAAGAUAGAAAGAUGUCAUUCUUUCACGUGUUUCGAUAGUGUAACUCGUCUUGAGGAAGUUCUAUGGUCCCGGACCACGAUGGUGGUUGACCUUGGGACAAUCAGACACGUCGAUCCUACUUGAGUUCCACAAGACACAAUGUUUCCUAGGGAGCAAAGCAUCUAGUACCCCUGAACUAUGACCAAAUUUGCUACGACAUACCCCAACUUCACGGGGGGUCCUUCCCUGAACUAAUUUUUAGCAUAUUCUUGUCAACCUUUUUAGCUGACGUGGAACCUUUGAUGUCGGCCCCUUUUUAUGUAAUAAAGGUGUCAGUCACAUCAGCACAAAAGGGUGACAAAAAUAUGCUAAAAUUGAGUUCAGGGGUAGUAGGACCCCUGUGAAGUUGCAGUGUGUCGUAGCAACUUUGGCCAUAGUUCGGAGGGGUACUGGAUUCUUAUCUCUUUCCUAGCCCUUGGAUUUGUGAUUGUUCUUUACCUCACAAUGGUUCUGAUUAUUUCAAGUUUAUCUCCAACAGGUCGCUAUGAUAUCGCCCGGGCAUUAGAAAAAUGGGGUGGCCUUCAUGAAGUUUCGCGUCUUCUAUCACUUAAGGUAAGGCACCCUAACAGACAAGCAAGCCUUGCCAAAGAUAAGAAAGUUGACUGUGAAACGACAUCGUCUAAACCUUUUGUUGCACAAGAUGCAAAGAAAUGGCUCAUGAAACUCAAAGACUUGGACAUGAACUGGGUAGAAUGAGCAUCAAAUUUUGUUUCACUUCUGAAAGCAUGACAACAGCUAAUUGUAUCAACUGUACAUAUAUCAAUCGAGCACGUUUCAAUUCCAAACUAGUUCGCGUCACCUUCUGCUUUGUGUACAAGAUGUGUUAUCUUUCAUAGUUCACCAGGAAGGAUGGAACACUAAAAGGGCAGCCCGGUGCACUAAAGCUACCGCUAUGCGUGGUGUCCGAGGAAGGGCUCCACCACAAGGGUGUAUUUUACGCAGCCUUACCUUGCAUUUCUGCCAGAGUCUGUUUCAAAAGCUUGAACCCGUGACCUCCUGGUCACAUGGCAGCAGCUUUACCAGUUACUCCAAGGCUUCCCUUCAAAGGAUAGAACACUAUGAAUCAAAAUUGAGGAUUGCGCGUUUGUUGAAUGUGAAAAUCGAGUGUGUACCUUGUAAGCCCCAUCCAGGAUAAAAGAAGUCUGGCGCGACAAUCUACACGCGUCAACUAUGUCUCAUCCUUCUUGGGUACUAGAAUCAGGGGCAUCGCACAUGAACUUAAGCUUUUCUUGUUUGGUUCACCUUCCUUUUCCACAACCACGCAUUCGUGAUCAUGAAAAUUCCUCAAACUCGCGAUAUACAAGCAGUUCCUCAGGCUCAUUUCGCUCAUAACCAGUCGAAGCAACGAGUCAUCAGGCAGAAUUUCUGGAAGAAGAUGCCAUUUUCCAACCAAAGUUAGUAUUCAUAGUGUUAACAACAACAUACCUAGUAUAUUCCCAUCAAGUGGAGUCUGGGGAGGGUUAGUGUACGCGGUCCAUACCACUACAUCAGAUUUGAGAUAGAGAGGCUGUUUUCGAUAGACCCGCGGCUCAAAAUAGUAUUAGUAGUGUUUAGUUUAAGCAAAUUUCUAGUGUUGUUCACCAAUAUACUGGGAAAAUGUAAUAUGGUGGGAAAAGGAACUUUGAAAAUGUUUGUAUUUAAGGGGCAAUAAUGUCAUAAAUCGAGUUAAUGCAUGCGUUGAAACCCUUUGUAUUACUAAUACACGAAAAACUGUCGCCGUGGUAUUAGUAAUACACAAUAAAGUGUAUAACUAAUGCAAACAUUCGUUUUUUUGUUGUAUAACUAAUGCAAACUUGACUAAAAAAAUAUACGUAUCAAACAAGGUAUACUAGUAAUAUACAAGACUAGUGCAUGUAUUUUUUUUUUUUAAUAUACUAUAUUAAACAACCCCUUAAUGUUUCUGAACAAGCUACAACAACAACAUACUCAGUAUAUUCCCACAAAAUGGAGAUUGGGGAGGGUAAAGUAUAUAAAGUCCGUACUACUACCUUAGAGGUGAGGUAGAGAAGUUGUUUCCGAUAUAUCUCGAUUCAUGACAAAAACAAUCUAGAAAAAGACAUAAUAUAAAAACAAGAAACAAUAGGUAGAAACAAACAAAAAAAAAUAAUAACGAAAUAAAACUACCACAAAGUAAUACUAUUCUCGAACUAUCCGAAACAACAAACAUCACUAAUAGUUCAAGAACAAGACAAUACAAGCAAAGUAUUACGACUACUGAGUUAGAGAGGCUGUCUCCAAUAGAUCCCUGGCUCAAGAUAAAACGAAUCUAGAAAAAGACAUAAUCUAAGAAUAAGAAACAAUAGGUAGUGACAAACAACAUACAACAACACAAAUAAGACUACUGCAAAGUAAUACUACCCUCGAACACCACUAAAAUUUGCCAAGACACUACAAGCAAAGAACUACGACUAUUGAGGUAAAGAGGCUAUUUUCAAUAGACCCCGAUUCAAGACAGAAACAAUUCAGAAAAAUACAUAAUAUAAGAACCAAAAAAUAAUAAGUAGUAACAAAAUAGUAUAUAAUAAUAGAAUUAAGACUACCACAAAGUAAUACUACCUAGAACUAUUCGAAACAACAAACCUCACGAAAGCCCCAAAAACAAAACGGUACAAGUAAAGUACUACGACUACUUGAGGUAGAAAGGUUGUUUUUAAUAAACUUCAGCUCAAGACAAAAAUAAUCUAAAAAAAAUACAUAAUUAAUAGACGAACAAAAAACAAGUAGUAAAACAGAACAAUAUAUAACACAAAUAAGAACAAAAAAACAAUAGAUAAUAACAAAACAAACAUAAAAUAACAAUAAGACUAGCAUAAAAGUAAACUACUCCCGAACUAUUCGAAAUAAUAAACAUCACCAAAACUCUAAAAACAAGUCGCUACAAGUAAAGUACUACGACUGACUAAUUAGGUGGAGAAGUUAUUUUCAAUAGACCCCAUUAGAAAAAGACAUAAUAUAAAAACAAAAAACAAUAAUCAGUAACAAAACAACAUAAGACUACCACAAAUUAAUUAUACUACCCUAGAAAUAUCCUAAAUAACAAACAUCACCAAUACUCCAAAAAUAAGACCGUACAAGUACUACGACUACUGAGAUAAAGAGGUUGUUUUCAAUAAACUCACAACUCAAGACAAAAACAAGUUAGAAAAAGACAUAAUAUAGGAACAAAAAAGAAUAAAUAGUAAUAACAUAAAAUAAUAAUAAGACUCACAAAAUAGUAUUACUCCCGAACAAUUCAAAAAAGCAAACAUCACCAAAACUCCAAAAACAAGAGAUUACAAGUGAAGUACUACGACUACUAAGGUUCAGAGAUUGUUUUCACCCUAGGCUCAAGACAAAAGUAAGCUACAAAAAGACAUAAUGUAAAAACAAAAAAAAUAAUAAAUAAUAACAAAAUAACAUAAAAUAACAAUAAUACUAUCACAAAGUAAUACUACCCUAAUACUACUCUGAAACUAUCCGAAACAAUAAACAUCACUACAAGCAAAGCACUAAAAAAGGGCAGCUCGGUGCACUAAAGCUAUUGCUAUGCGCGGUGUCGGGGGAAGAGUCCCAUCACAAGGGUGUAUCUUACGCAGCCUUACCUUAUAUUUCUGCUAGAACUAUUUUCAAGGCUUAAAUCCGUGACCUCCUAGUCACAUAACAACAACUUUACCAGUUACUCCAAGCAAAGCACUACGACUAUAAAAGGGCAGCCCGGUGCACUAAAGCUACCGCUAUGCGUGAUAUCCGGGAAAGGGCCCCACCCCAGUGAUGCAUCGUACACAGACUUAUAUUUUCCAUUUCUACCAGAGGCUGUUUCCAAGGCUUGAACCCGUGACCUCCUGGUCACAUGACAAUAACUUUACCAAUUACUCCAAGCAAAGCACUAUGACUACAAAAGGACAACCCAGUGCACUAAAGCUAUCACUAUGCACGGUAUUCGGGGAAGGACCCACUACAAGGUGUAUCGUACGCAGCCUUACCUUGUAUUUCUGUCAUAGGCUGUUUCCAAGACUUAAAACCGUGUCCUCCUGAUCACAUGACAGCAACUUUAUCAGUUACUCC
rnacentral:lncRNA from 1 species